rnacentral:rRNA from 1 species
GACGAACGCUGGCGGCGUGCUUAACACAUGCAAGUCGAACGGAAAGGCCCUGCUUUUGUGGGGUGCUCGAGUGGCGAACGGGUGAGUAACACGUGAGUUCCCUGCCCCUGACUUUGGGAUAACUUCAGGAAACUGGGGCUAAUACCGGAUAGGAGCUCCUGCUGCAUGGUGGGGGUUGGAAAGUUUAGGCGGUUGGGGAUGGACUCGCGGCGUAUCAGCUUGUUGGUGGGGUAGUGGCUUACCAAGGCUUUGCCGGGUAGCCGGCCUGAGAGGGUGACCGGCCCCAUUGGGACUGAGAUACGGCACAGACUCCUACGGGAGGCAGCGGUGGGGAAUAUUGCACUAUGGGCGGAAGCCUAAUGCAGCAACGCCGCGUGCGGGGUGACGGCCAGCGGGUAGUAAACCGCUUUCGCCUGUGACGAAGCGUGAGUGACGGUAAUGGGUAAAGAAGCACCGGCUAACUACGUG